rnacentral:rRNA from 1 species
UUGGUUAAAUCUAACUGGAGGACCUAACCGACUAUUGUUGAAAAAUUAGCGGAUGACUUGUGGAUGGGGGUGAAAGGCCAAUCAAACCGGGAGAUAGCUGGUUCUCCCCGAAAGCUAUUUAGGUAGCGCCUCUUGAACUCAUCUUCGGGGGUAGAGCACUGUUUCGGCUAGGGGGUCAUCCCGACUUACAAACCCGAUUCAAACUACGAAUACCGAAGAAUGUUAUCACGGGAGACACAC